GAUGAACGCUGGCGGCGUGCUUAACACAUGCAAGUCGAACGGGAUCCCAGGAGCUUGCUCCUGGGUGAGAGUGGCGAACGGGUGAGUAAUGCGUGACCGACCUGCCCCAUACACCGGAAUAGCUCCUGGAAACGGGUGGUAAUGCCGGAUGCUCCAGUUGGAUGCAUGUCCUUCUGGGAAAGAUUCAUCGGUAUGGGAUGGGGUCGCGUCCUAUCAGCUUGAUGGCGGGGUAACGGCCCACCAUGGCUUCGACGGGUAGCCGGCCUGAGAGGGCGACCGGCCACAUUGGGACUGAGAUACGGCCCAGACUCCUACGGGAGGCAGCAGUGGGGAAUAUUGCACAAUGGGCGCAAGCCUGAUGCAGCGACGCCGCGUGCGGGAUGACGGCCUUCGGGUUGUAAACCGCUUU
rnacentral:rRNA from 1 species